rnacentral:rRNA from 1 species
CCUACGGGAGGCAGCAGUGGGGAAUAUUGCGCAAUGGGGGCAACCCUGACGCAGCCAUGCCGCGUGAAUGAAGAAGGCCUUCGGGUUGUAAAGUUCUUUCGGUAGCGAGGAAGGCAUUUAGUUUAAUAGACUAGGUGAUUGACGUUAACUACAGAAGAAGCACCGGCUAACUCCGUGCCAGCAGCCGCGGUAAUACGGAGGGUGCGAGCGUUAAUCGGAAUAACUGGGCGUAAAGGGCACGCAGGCGGUGACUUAAGUGAGGUGUGAAAGCCCCGGGCUUAACCUGGGAAUUGCAUUUCAUACUGGGUCGCUAGAGUACUUUAGGGAGGGGUAGAAUUCCACGUGUAGCGGUGAAAUGCGUAGAGAUGUGGAGGAAUACCGAAGGCGAAGGCAGCCCCUUGGGAAUGUACUGACGCUCAUGUGCGAAAGCGUGGGGAGCA